rnacentral:pre_miRNA from 1 species
GGUAAGAUUGCUGGAUCAUAUGGUAUUUGGUAUUUAUAUUUUUUAAUUUUUAAAGUAACCUACAAAAUAUUUUCCAAAGUGUCUGCACAUUUUACAUUUCCACCAACAGU